rnacentral:rRNA from 1 species
UACGUAGGCGGAAGAUUAAGUCAGUGGUGAAAUCCUGCAGCUUAACUGUAGAACUGUCAUUGAUACUGGUUUUAUUGAAUUUAGUUGAGGUAGACGGAAUGUGUAAUGUAGCGGUGAAAUGCUUAGAUAUUACACAGAACACCGAUUGCGAAGGCAGCUUACUAAACUAUGAUUGACGCUGAGGUACGAAAGCGUGGGGAGCGAACAGGAUUAGAUACCCUGGUAGUCC